GUAGCUGGUCUGAGAGGAUGACCAGCCACACUGGAACUGAGACACGGUCCAGACUCCUACGGGAGGCAGCAGUGGGGAAUAUUGGACAAUGGGGGCAACCCUGAUCCAGCAAUGCCGCGUGUGUGAAGAAGGCCUGAGGGUUGUAAAGCACUUUCAGUGGGGAGGAGGRUUGAUAGGUUAAGAGCURAKUAAUUGGACGUUACCCACAGAAGAAGCACCGGCUAACUCCGUGCCAGCAGCCGCGGUAAUACGGAGGGUGCGAGCGUUAAUCGGAAUGACUGGGCGUAAAGGGUGCGUAGGUGGUUUAUUAAGUUAUCGGUGAAAUCCCAGGGCUYAACCUGGGAAGGACAAAUAAUACUGAUGGACUSGAGUAUGG
rnacentral:rRNA from 1 species